rnacentral:rRNA from 1 species
UACGUAGGGUGCGAGCGUUGUCCGGAAUUAUUGGGCGUAAAGAGCUCGUAGGUGGCUUGUCACGUCGGGUGUGAAAUCCCAGGGCUUAACUCUGGGUCUGCAUUCGAUACGGGCUGGCUAGGGUCCUUCAGGGGAGACUGGAAUUCCUGGUGUAGCGGUGAAAUGCGUAGAGAUCGGGAGGAACACCAGUGGCGAAGGCGGCUACCUGGACCAGCACUGGACACUGAGGAGCGAAAGCGUGGGGAGCAAACAGG